rnacentral:rRNA from 1 species
GAUGACGCUAGCGGCAGGCUUAACACAUGCAAGUCGAGGGGUAUAUGUUCCUUCCGGAGAUAGAGACCGGCGCACGGGUGCGUAACGCGUAUGCAAUCUACCUUUUACAGAGGGAUAGCCCAGAGAAAUUUGGAUUAAUACCUCAUAGUAUAAUGACUCGGCAUCGAGAUAUUAUUAAAGUCACAACGGUAAAAGAUGAGCAUGCGUCCCAUUAGCUAGUUGGUAAGGUAACGGCUUACCAAGGCUACGAUGGGUAGGGGUCCUGAGAGGGAGAUCCCCCACACUGGUACUGAGACACGGACCAGACUCCUACGGGAGGCAGCAGUGAGGAAUAUUGGACAAUGGGCGCAAGCCUGAUCCAGCCAUGCCGCGUGCAGGAUGACGGUCCUAUGGAUUGUAAACUGCUUUUAUACGAGAAGAAACACUCCUUCGUGAAGGAGCUUGACGGUAUCGUAAGAAUAAGGAUCGGCUAACUCCGUGCCAGCAGCCGCGGUAAUACGGAGGAUCCAAGCGUUAUCCGGAAUCAUUGGGUUUAAAGGGUCCGUAGGCGGUUUGGUAAGUCAGUGGUGAAAGCCCAUCGCUCAACGGUGGAACGGCCAUUGAUACUGCCAGACUUGAAUUAUUAGGAAGUAACUAGAAUAUGUAGUGUAGCGGUGAAAUGCUUAGAGAUUACAUGGAAUACCAAUUGCGAAGGCAGGUUACUACUAAUGGAUUGACGCUGAUGGACGAAAGCGUGGGUAGCGAACAGGAUUAGAUACCCUGGUAGUCCACGCCGUAAACGAUGGAUACUAGCUGUUGGAAGCAAUCUCAGGUGGCUAAGCGAAAGUGAUAAGUAUCCCACCUGGGGGAGUACGUUCGCAAGAUGAAUAGGAAAUUUGUGUGUGGGGG